UCCUCACCACCUGAAACUGAAAUUACCAUAUAAUCCAGCAUUGCCACUUCUGGUUAUAGAUGCAAAAGAAUUAGAAGCCGAGUCUCAGAGAUAUUUGCACGCCCGUGUUCACAGCAGCAUUAUUCACAAUAGUGAGAAGGUAGAUGCCACCCAGUGUCCGCGGAUAAACAAAAUGAGCAUUGCAAUCAGCCCUGGAAGCCCCAGGGCCUCAGUGGAAGGGAGCAGAGAGGCAGCAGUCAAAGGGCAGAGAGCACUGAACCCGGUCCUUCCUGCUUGUCCUCAUUCACCUCCAGCACCCUCUCCCGGUUCCUGCAAGGGUCCAGUGAGUUCACCUUGACAAUGGGAAGACCAUCACCAGGAACUGCUGGGGGUGGCUCCAGGAAGCCCUUCGAGGGCCAAGGAUACAAAUUCGGAGGCCACCGGAGCCUGGCUGGAGGCCAACAGACCUAGGUCAGCUCGCUUCCUGCUGUGGCUGUGGGCUUCCCUCUUCCCCUGCAUAGGUGGGCAAGUUGGCUCUAGGGACUGGCCAGGGGGCUUGGGGGUCGAGGGGUGAGGGAUCCCCUGUGACCUCCCUGUCUUGCACAGGGAGGAGCUCAUCCUUCAGGAAUGAGGCUUGCCCUGAAAUCGCCAGCUCCCUGCCCACAUCUGUAAAAUGAGGAAAUCCCACUGGGUGAGCUAGGGUCCUUUUCUUGGCUGCGACUCCAUGAUUCUUAGAACCUAACGUUCCAUGAUUCGGAGAUUCUGGGGACUGAAAAACCUCCAUUAUUUUGCGUCCUUGCCUAUGGCUUUGGAUCCAAGCUUUACUCUCUCCCAUGGAUCUUUCCAGACCCCCACUUGCACCCAAGAAGGCCAUCCACACAAAAUGAGACUUGGUCUCUCCCUGGCUGUCUCAUGAGGCGGACUGCAAAUGUGUGCAUUUGCAUACCCACCACUGGGAGGCACGGGGCGGGGGGGGGGGGCAGGGACUCACCUUUAUCUUGUUUUCUCCUUGGCCAUUCCCUCCUGGCACCGUGAACCCUUGUUGGCCUCACACAACCUAAAUUCCACAGCCCAGAGUAUGUGAGGCUCCAAUCUGGAGAGAGGUAGAAUGUGUUUUUUGCCAGAACUCCAGAGAAGUUGGGGUAGGCCUGACAUAGGACUAGACUCAGUCCCCGGGCAAGGCACAUUUUGAGGCAGGAGGGUGGACUCGUGGGAACUGGUGGCAGAGAUGCAGAGCUGGGAGGGGCCAGAGGGGCCAGAAGGAAUUUAAUUUAGCUGUUGCCCCCUGCUAUGCCCCAAGACCACCCCCCCCCACAUACACACCUUAAGUCCCUGUGACCCCAUCAGUAAGGAUAACGCUGCUCACUCUUCCUGUCUGUGGGUCCUGUCCAACGUGGUUCUCAGGAACUGCUGGCAGAAAGAGGCCCAUGGUUCUGCCCAGAGAAGACCAACCCCGACUGCCGGGAUAUCCCACACUGCCCGAUGUCUCAGGUUCUGGAUCCUCAUUCUAGAUGGUAAAAUUCCACGGGAAAGAAAAAGUUCUUAAAACCUGGAUUGACUCAAAUGGCUCCUGCUCAUUUGCUACAGGAGGACCUGAAUUCUAAUUUGCACAGAAAAGCAAGACCCUGGGGCUCCUAUGACACCUGGGAAGAGGAGAGAAACUUCCAGCAAGGAAGAGCUGGGGGCUAGAAGUCAUAAUAAUUUGAUCACAGCAGACAUUUGACUUUACCCUUAGCCUGAGCUCGCUGUCAAUGACACCCACAGUUUAUAGGCGAUGACAAUGGCCAUCUCUCCUCCCCUUCCUACCGGCUCUGUGAUAAUGGCUUUCUGUGCUUAGGUUAAUCCUUUUAAUAACUGCAGUAGGGUCAGUCUGCUGUUGUCCCUGUUUUACCAAUGAGAACACAGAGACUUAGAGAAGUCAGUGAUGUCCCCAAGGCCACCGAUUCAGCAAAUGACAGAGCUGGGGCCUGAGCAAGGCUGUCUGGGUUCUGAGGACAGAAUUUUUUUUUUUUUUUUUUAAGAUUGUAUUUAUUUGGGAGACAGAGAGAGAGAAUGAGAGCAUGAACGGAGGAGGCACAGGGGAGAAGCAGACUCCCUGCUGAGCAGGGAGCCCACUACAGGGCUCGAUCCCAGGACCCUGAGAUCACGACCUGAGCCGAAAUCUUAACCAACUGAGCCACCCAGGCGGCCCUAAAGCCAGAAUCCUAACCAUUAUUCUCUGCAGCCUCUGAGGCCUGAGGAUUUACAGUUGGAUGCAUCAGUUUAAAUCCCAUCCAAGGUUCCCUGGCUGUUCCCAAGGACAGCAGGAAGCAUUGCCUGGAAUGAAAGCCUCAGGGGGAAACUCGUUCCUCUUGCGCUCCCCGUAGUGACCAGAGCAUCCUCUGGUCUCUACAGAGAAGGGGAUAGGAGAAGGGACAGCACGAGCCGGCAGCACGGAGCCUCUUCCCCAGGGUGGGGCCUGUCCCCCAGCCCAGGCCCCAGGCAUAGAGCCAACCAGGAGAGGAAACUCCCUCCCAUGAUCGUGUUCUCGGCCAUUCCGCACAGGAAAGGGCAGGCUCCCCCGAAGCCCAGACAGUCUCCAGAUGGUUUUUCACUGAAGACUUUCCCAGAGAAUCUUGGGAACCCAGGACAGACUGUGGGCUGGGCCAGAGCUCUGGCCAGUGUCAGGAGAACAGGCAGGUCCCUGGCUGCUUUAAGGUUCCAUGGGAUCCUGGAGCGAACCCCUUUCCCUCUGCGCCUGCAUUUCUCCAUCUGCCAUGGGUUGACUCGUGAUCCCAGAAAGACAGGUCCAAGUCCUAAGCUCAGUACCUGUGAACGUGACCUUAUUUGGAAAUAGGAUCUUUGCCAAAGUAAUUAAGUGAAGGAUCGCCGGACGAGAUCAUACUGGAUUUAAGGUGGGCUCUGAACCCAAUGACAGCGUCCUUAAAAGUACAGGAGAAGACGCAAAGACGCACAAGGGGAAGGCGGCCUGAAGACACAGGCAAAGAUCUGAGGGACAGAGCCCCAAAGCAAACGGUGCUGGCCACGGCUGGCAGGUGGGGGAGGUGGGCAGGCAACAGAGUCUACAGAAAACCAGCCUACCCACGCUUUGAUUUCAGACUCGGGGCCUCUGCAACUGUGAGAGGGUACGCUUCUGCUGUUCUAAGCCCCCAAGUUGUGGUCAUUCCUUUGGGCAGCCACAGGAAUCCAGCCCCCCAUCUCUGAGAGAACAGAUGGGACCAGCAAGUCCCCGCCGCCCCCUGGGGUUAAGAGCAGUCUAUGAGCGCCUCAAACUUAGCUCCCACCCUGAGAAGCUCGCAGCUGAGUUGAGAAGCCAAAAUCUGCAGCCGAUGACUGCGUUUUCAAGAUCCAAAUGAUGUGCCUUCUGUACAAGGAAGCUAGGCUGCCCAGACCCACUCUCCUGGCCUGGGGAGCGGAGAGUAGAAAUUCAAACCACAAAGUAGAAUUCUUCACGCCGCCAGGAACCAGAAGGUGGAGAGUAGGGCAUGUGGGAUGCUGGCCCUGGCAGCAGGGCCACCUCCUGCGAACCCAGAGUCCUAGCUGGGGUGGGCAACCGGGACAUAGGGCCACGGGCCAGCAUCUUCUCUAGGGGCUGCAAUGGCUCUGUGAAGGGACUCCUGGACUUCUAAGGUCUCAGCUCAGGGGGUGCCAGGCUGCCCAGGUCAGAGCAAGGGGUGCUGAUGGCAAGGUGCAGCCCAGGGCAAAGGGCUUUGCGGGCCUAGGAAGGGGAGAAUUAGGAGACGUGGGAACCAGGAGCCCAGGCAAACACCCCUGAGUUUUCAUGGGUGGUCAGAGCCUCACUUUCUUCUUCUGGAGCUGGACACAGCAAUCCUAGCCUUAAAAGGGGUAUAGGAACUGAAAUGAGGGGAUACACAUUCAAUGACGGACGGAACAUCUGGCCGAAGUGGUAUGAAGACAGGGUACCACUGUCCUACUGUGGAGCUGUGGCUUGAACGGCAGAUGAGCUCCAAAGGAGAAGUUCACUUUCUUCCCAAGUCUGUGCCCCGUGUCUUCAACCAGUAAGCUUGGAGCUGGACAAGCCUGGGUUCAAAUCCCAGCUCUGCCCUUGUCUGGGAGUGUGGCCCUGGGAAAAAGGGCUUCUCUAUGGAUGUUCCUGACCACAUCUGUGAAAGGGGAAUAAUCUUGAGACUAGGAUAGGAGUGUGCAUACUGGUUGGCAGACAGCAGGUGUUUGACACUAUUUCUGAAUAACACAUGAAUUAAAAUAAAGGCAGCUGUGUGAGGCCAAGAGCACUGACAAUAAAUGUGGUAAGAGGUACAGACAACGGAUAGGCGGAUCCGGGAGAGCAAGCAUUUGCUCCUCGGAAGUGAUCAGAGAAGCUGUGUAAGUAGGAGUCUUCUUACUGCAAGUGACAGAAAUCUCACUCAAACUGCUUUGUGCACAAACCAGAAUGCUAUGCCAAUGUAACAAUGACAAUAUUUUGAAUAAGCAUAAUGCACUCCUACCUCAGGGCCUUUGCACUUGCUGUCCCCUCUGUCAGAAUACUUUUCUCCCAGAUAUUUCCAGGGAUCUCCCCUUUACCUCUUUAGAUCUUUAUCAGAUACAUUUAAAUUUAAAAAUUAAUUUAACCAACACUCUGUAUGCCUUUUUACUACUUUAUUGCUUUAUUUUUCUCUAUAACAUUUAUCAUCAUUUAACAUGCUAUUUUUAUUAUUGAUUUUGUGCAUUGCCUUUCUACUUACACCCCGUGCCCCACUACCAUGUAAGUUCCACUAAGUAGGAUUUUUGUCUUUUUUUUUUUUUUUUAACUGUUGUAGUUCUAUCACCUAGGACUAGGCCUUGCGUGCAGUAGGUGUGAUGGUUAAUUCUAUAUAUCAAUUUGACAGUUCCACAAGGUCUUUCUUUGGGGUUCGAUAUCAAGCUUGUGCUUUCCUUUGUUAAAAUAAAAUCCCUGGGGGUGGGUGGUGGAAUCCCAUCUAGUGACCAUUAAGAUAAGUCACACAGGGGGCAAUGGGGUUCAGGCUAGCUACAUUUUGACUGAGGGGCAAUUGGAUGGAAAGUUCUGGAACACAGGGUAUGAUCUCCAAAAGCACUCCAGCUAAGCCAUAAGUAGAAUGAGAUCCUAGGCCUUCAGGGGAAGAGGUCCUAAGUUUUUACAUCCUCACGAGUUGGACACAUUACAGUUUACAAAGCAUUUCCCCAUCCACUAUCUACCUGGUCCUGAGUGGUAGUAAUUUCCUUACCCAAUAAAUACUUAUCAAGAACUUCCUGCAUGGGGGUUGGUCAGGAGGACCAAGUGGGCCUCUGCAUACAGGACUUAGGGCCCUGCCUGGGUUCUGGCUAGCCCGCAGUGCCUGCUUAUGUGCCAGGGGAGGGGGAGCCGGCAGAUGUGUCAACAUGAACUUGGCCUGUACCAGGCGAUGGAACUACAGGAUAGAUAUGGUCCCUGUUCUCAUGGGCCCCACAGUCCAUCAGGAAGAGGGACAUAAUUCACUAAUUAUAAACAGGUUUAACAUUCAAACCAUUUCAAUUCAGAUGUUUGGAAAAGGUGAUUUCUUUAAGAAUAUCAUUUCUUUAUUAUAUUCUAUAUUAUAUUAUAAUUAUAAUGUAUAUAAUAUAUUAUAAUAUAAUAGAUAUAUUGUAUUCUAUAUUAUAACAUCAUUUCUUUAUUAUAUUCUAUGUUAUAACCAAGACCCAGUA